AUUAAAAACCAAUGCCCUUCGGGGCUCUCUGGUGAUUCAUAAUAACUUCUCGAAUCGCACGGCCUUGUGCCGGCGAUGGUUCAUUCAAAUUUCUGCCCUAUCAACUUUCGACGGCUGGGUCUUGGCCAGCCGUGGUGACAACGGGUAACGGAGGGUUAGGGCUCGACCCCGGAGAAGGAGCCUGAGAAACGGCUACUACAUCCAAGGAAGGCAGCAGGCGCGCAAAUUACCCAAUCCCGACACGGGGAGGUAGUGACAAUAAAUACUGAUACAGGGCUCUUUCGGGUCUUGUAAUUGGAAUGAGUACAAUUUAAAUCCCUUAACGAGGAACAAUUGGAGGGCAAGUCUGGUGCCAGCAGCCGCGGUAAUUCCAGCUCCAAUAGCGUAUAUUAAAGUUGUUGAGGUUAAAAAGCUCGUAGUUGAACCUUGGGCCUAGCCGGCCGGUCCGCCUCACCGCGUGCACUGGCUCGGCUGGGUCUUUCCUUCUGGAGAACCGCAUGCCCUUCACUGGGUGUGCC
rnacentral:rRNA from 1 species